rnacentral:rRNA from 1 species
CAGCAGCCGCGGGAAUACGUAGGGUGCGAGCGUUAAUCGGAAUUACUGGGCGUAAAGCGUGCGCAGGCGGUUUUGUAAGACAGGCGUGAAAUCCCCGGGCUCAACCUGGGAAUGGCGCUUGUGACUGCAAAGCUAGAGUGCGGCAGAGGGGGAUGGAAUUCCGCGUGUAGCAGUGAAAUGCGUAGAUAUGCGGAGGAACACCGAUGGCGAAGGCAAUCCCCUGGGCCUGCACUGACGCUCAUGCACGAAAGCGUGGGGAGCAAACAGGAUUAGAUACCCGGGUAGUCCCUGUCUCUUAUAC